GUUGACAAGAACUUUUUGAUGUUGAUUAAGCCAUGUAAGACAGUUUCCAAUUUUAGAAGAAAAUCUUGUAUUAUAUGGUUAGAUAUAACUUUUAUCCAAUAGCCAAUGCUGAGUGAGGAGAUAAUGCAACAUAGAAUCACAUCACAGUCAUAUAACUGUAGUGAUCCAUUUCAUAUCUAUUACAAAACAGUGUACUGCUACAGUAUCUUGCAAAGCAGAAAGAAAUGACAAUACACUAGUUGAUAAAUACAAGCAUUCAGAAUUACAAAAAGACAGGGUUUAAAUCCAAUUACCGGAUUGUGAAGAACCAAGUUUGGUAGAAGAAUGACCCAAAUGGAACUUCAAUCCAGCAACCAUAGUCGUGAGUGGUAAUGUAUCUAAUGAGCUUCUCAUCUUCCUUUAACCUUCUGUUGGUUCAGCAAGAGUGGUGACCCAUCUUAAAUUUCUUAACUUUCUUCACACACUUAACCCUUUCCCAUUUCCACAAAACUCCAAAAAUUAAUAACAACCCAAGAAGAUUAUAACAACCUAAAGAGAAGCUAGUGCAAGAUGAAAACGAGAGAAAGAACAUUGUCGGUUGUUUCAUGCAGCGAAUAUUUGGUGCUAUGCAGCAAAUAAAGUGAGGCAUGGUGCUCUCCAACUGAUGCAUCAACUUGAACAAUUGAACCUAAAAGAAUGAAACUAUUUAGAUUUUUGCCCUUAACUAUUUCUCUUUAUACUUUCUGUACUUUGUUAUUCAAUAAUUUGAUUUUCAGGAGAGUAGGUUUAUAUUACCAUGUGUAAAUCUACUUUAACAAGCCUUAGUCAUUUCUUUUAAAUCUUUAUUAAGCACAAGAAAUGCUACAAAAUUACCUUGAACUUUGUUGCAACACUCUGCUUUUGAGACUGGUUAAAUAUUUUGGAGAAUAGCUGCAGCAAAUCACAAUUACAUGAUUUUGCUUCACAAACCAUGCUCUGAAUUUUAUCAAAAGAGUUUGUUUUACAAGCUUUAAAAGCUGAACAAAAUAAUUAAAAUAAUAAAACAUAAAGCUAAAAUUACCAAAUUAGAAUGAUAAAACUAGCAGAAACAAUGUUAUAUAUCCAAACAACUUCUGGUGUGUUGCUUAGCAUAUUCAGAGAAUUGUUAUAAUUUUUUCAAUAAGCACCUUACUCAUUUUGAAACAAGCAGCUCCAACUUUCACUUUCUUCCAAGAAAUAGCAAAUUGAUCAUAAGAAUAAAACUGGAUUUCUUGAUGAAAACAUGGAUUUGAACUAGGAUCGCCUUUAAUUAUCAUGUUUGGAAGAAAGAAGACCAAAAGAUCUUUAAAGGAAAUGCAGAGCAGAAAUAUUACUCAACUUAAAAGGGAUGCUAAAGAUGGAUAGUGUACUUAUAACAAAUUGCUCUGGUUUAAGGUAAGACUUACAUACGGUUCAAUAACUGUUGUUCUUCAAUUAGAAUAGGAGUUUCACCUCGUUAAUAUGUGGAGAAAGCUUUACAUUAAAUAAUUAUACAUAUUACCAAGGUGAAACUCUAAUUCUAAUUAGAGAACAGUACAAAUCACCUCCAUAGAACAGUAAGUAAGUUCUGCUCUUAGUUCAACUACUAAUAGACAAUGUUUAUGUGGAAUUUGGAAGUUAGAAACUUGAAAUGCAGAUAAUAUUGAUUUUAGAAAAAAAAAAGUUGACUAAUGCUUUGUAUGUCGCGAUAACAGAAUAAGAAUAAUAACAACAAUAAUAAAUAAUAAAUAGAAAACAAAGAGGAUUGACAUACCUAUUCUUUGUUUCAGUAUCUUCAUUUGCUGUUUGUAACUGAGAUCGGAGAACCCCCUGCAUUGACACAAAAGUAUCCCAAGCAUAAACAGUAAGUCUGAUUGAAUAUGAAAAAGCAUCAGCACUCAGCAGCUUAAUUCUCUUCCUCUCUACCCUUAAUUGAUACUAAACAAGGGACCAAUCAUUUUGUUCCUCUGUUCC
rnacentral:lncRNA from 1 species